UGGGGAAUAUUGGACAAUGGGCGAAAGCCUGAUCCAGCCAUGCCGCGUGUGUGAAGAAGGUCUUCGGAUUGUAAAGCACUUUAAGUUGGGAGGAAGGGCAUUAACCUAAUACGUUAGUGUUUUGACGUUACCGACAGAAUAAGCACCGGCUAACUCUGUGCCAGCAGCCGCGGUAAUACAGAGGGUGCAAGCGUUAAUCGGAAUUACUGGGCGUAAAGAGCGCGUAGGUGGUUUGUUAAGUUGGAUGUGAAAUCCCCGGGCUCAACCUGGGAACUGCAUUCAAAACUGACUGACUAGAGUAUGGUAGAGGGUGGUGGAAUUUCCUGUGUAGCGGUGAAAUGCGUAGAUAUAGGAAGGAACACCAGUGGCGAAGGCGACCACCUGGACUAAUACUGACACUGAGGUGCGAAAGCGUGGGGAGCAAACA
rnacentral:rRNA from 1 species